AGGCGCACGCGCCGUGGCGCCCCCGGGCGUAACCCCAGCUGCUGUGACGGGCCAGGGCUCGCAGCUCGCCUGCUAGAGUUUGUGGCGCGCCCUCGGGAUCAGGGCACUGGGGUUUGAAGGGGCUGCAGCGUGGGAAGCCUUCAAUUUUUUUUUUUUUUUUGUAAGCUGCGUGUGCUCAGAUUGAGGAAGCAGUUUUGUCACACAUGUUCAACACGUUCCACGCUGGUCACAAGCUAGCAAGGAUGAAACUAAUGGAAUAACAUCAACUAAGCCUUGCUGCUUCUCAGGCCCUGAGGAAUGGAGUGUACUAAUUAUGUACUCUGAAGCUAUAGGUGAGGAAACCUAGGCUCAAGUUGACACUCAAGCUCACCUUGCAAGAUAGUGGCAGAGCUGAUAAGAUCUCCUUCCUCUACCUUUAGUUUGCUGCUUCUAAUCUAAUGGACUUGGGAGAAGCCACUUACGAGAAUGGUAUAUAAGCCAAGAGCAAAUGAACUGAAGUCUGAGGGGCUGGCUAUCCAAACAACAAAAGAUGGAGCAUCAGAUCAUUCACUGAAGAGUUUCUUGCUCUUACAAGGUCUUUGCAAUGAUUUGAGAGAGGAAGUUGCUAUAUAAUGCUAUCUGGAUGAGUUCUUUGUAUUUUUACUCUGCAUUUUAUUAUUUAGUAUUUAUUCUGUGUUUUGGUUAUAUCACAAUAUUUUGGUAGUUUGUAAUAGAACUUCAAAAAUUCAGGUUUAUUUAUAAGGCAUAUUUUAAGAUGUCUAAUUUUCACAUAUGGAAAAUUUGAGGAAGAUAUUUGCUCAAAGCUACACAUCAUAUUUCAAGCACAGACAAGACUAGAAUUCAGACUUCCUGACCGUUAGGACUAUUCAAACAUUCAUAAUCCAUCAUCCAUCUAGGAGUUUCAGUAAAUAGGCCAUAGUCUUUAAGCUGUAGAAAAUUUUAUUUCUAAGGCCUUCAAAAUAGAUUCGUGAGGUACAAAAUGUUGCAUUCCAUUCUUUAUAAAGUGAUUUGAUUUGACCAUCCUCCCUGGUGAAAUAUUCUAUCUUUAUCAUUCUUGUGGGCCCCUGUUGGGUCUUGAGUAAUCAAAGGUAGGUACAAUGCCUUGGCUGGUGGUCCUCUCUGAUCAUUAGCCUUCUCUCCAAGCAGGCUGCAUCUCACUGUGCAUUUGCUCUUUUUCCAUUGUUACUUUAGGUUUGAGGGUCAUUGUUGUUUUCAUACCACAGUUGAGAAAUAACAAUCUUUACAAGCUUUCCAAUAGUGCCAUCUGUAAAUUUUCAAAGGUACUAUUUUUCUCAAAGGUCUUACAUCCCUUGUUUUUUGCUCCUCUAGGACUUAUAGACCUGUCUCCUCUCCCCAAGUCAGUGGGAAAUUCUUUUUCUUGUUUAUAAAGACAACGUUCUCCUUUGCUUCUUUCUAGACACUCUCCUUGUUUCUGUAAUUCCCCUUUGCACUUUUGCUUUCUUUGUCAACUCUGUUUGUUCUCCUAUGGGAUAGAUUUUAGAAACAGGGACAGAAAGUCUGGCAGGCUAAUUCUGCUUUUUCUUCUUUUACUGAGCACAUCUCACCUCUCCUCCACCCCAGAUUUUGAAAAGUUAACUGGAUAACUGCUUGAAUGUGAUGUGGGAAUGUAAGAAAUGUGUAUAAACACUGGUUGCUUCAAGGAGGAGGGAUUAAGGAUGAGACAGAAAAAGAUCAUUAAUAUUUUCUUUAUUCUCCUUUGUGAUUCUUGAUCUUUCAUAAUUAGCUUAUAUUAUCUUUUAAAUUCAAAACUCUAAUAAAGAAUUGGUUGAGUUUGGAAAAUAGACUAGAGCUUUGCUAAAAUCACUUUUUAGUUCUUUUAGUUCCAGUAGUGUUUUUUGUAGGCUGCAGUCUGUUUUCUGAACCGCAGUCUUACUUGCAUAUAUUAGCAACAAACAAAUGGAAAUUGAAAUGCGUAGUUCACUCACAAUGGCAUAGAAAUAAAAUAUUUAGAAAUAAGAAAACUGAGGGAAGGGCAGUCUUUUCAACAAAUGAUAUAAAAAAACUCAACCAUUACCUUACACAUUCAUAAAUAUUAACUUACAACAGAACCUAUAAUUAAAUGUAAGAGCUAAAACUUUAAAGUACCUAGAAGAAGAUAUCAGAGAGAAUCUUUGUGACUCUGAGUUAGACAAAGCAUUCUUAGAUAGGAUACAGAAAUAUGAAAGAAAAAAUUGAUGUUAGACUUCAUCAAAAUUGUAAAAUUUUUUAUGAUUUUUGAACAACACUGUUAAAAACAUGAAAAGAUUAGCUAUAGAAUGGGAAGAACUAUUUAUAAAAUACAUAUUUGAUAAAGGACUUAUAUCCAGAAUAUAUAAAGAACUCUUACAACUCAAUAGUAAGAAGACAAAUCCUUGAUUAAAAAAAAAUCAAUAGACAAUUCAAUAGACAAGAUGUAUGAAUGGUCAGAAAACACACACAAAAAAUGCUUAACAUCAUUAGUCAUCAGGGAAAUGCAAAUUAAAACCCAUUAAAAUUGAGAUAUGCCUACACAACCACUAG